UGGGGAAUUGUUCGCAAUGGGCGCAAGCCUGACGACGCAACGCCGCGUGGAGGAUGAAGAUCUUCGGGUCGUAAACUCCUGUCGAAUGGGACGAAUGGGUUGCGGGUUAACAGCCCGCUACAUUGACGGUACCGUUAAAGGAAACCCCGGCUAACUCCGUGCCAGCAGCCGCGGUAAUACGGGGGGGGUAAGCGUUGUUCGGAAUUACUGGGCGUAAAGGGCUCGUAGGCGGCCAACUAAGUCAGACGUGAAAUCCCUCAGCUUAACUGGGGAACUGCGUCUGAUACUGGAUGGCUUGGAUCCGGGAGAGGGAUGCGGAAUUCCAGGUGUAGCGGUGAAAUGCGUAGAUAUCUGGAGGAACACCGGUGGCGAAGGCGGCAUCCUGGACCGGUAUUGACGCUGAGGAGCGAAAGCCAGGGGAGCAAACGGGAUUAGAUACCCCGGUAGUCCUGGCCCUAAACGAUGAAUGCUUGGUGUAGCGGGUAUCGAUCCCUGCUGUGCCGAAGCUAACGCAUUAAG
rnacentral:rRNA from 1 species